rnacentral:rRNA from 1 species
AGAGUUUGAUCCUGGCUCAGAAUGAACGCUGGCGGCAUGCCUAACACAUGCAAGUCGAACGAAGGCUUCGGCCUUAGUGGCGCACGGGUGCGUAACGCGUGGGAAUCUGCCCCUUGGUUCGGAAUAACAGUUGGAAACGACUGCUAAUACCGGAUGAUGACGUAAGUCCAAAGAUUUAUCGCCGAGGGAUGAGCCCGCGUAGGAUUAGGUAGUUGGUGUGGUAAAGGCGCACCAAGCCGACGAUCCUUAGCUGGUCUGAGAGGAUGAUCAGCCACACUGGGACUGAGACACGGCCCAGACUCCUACGGGAGGCAGCAGUGGGGAAUAUUGGACAAUGGGCGAAAGCCUGAUCCAGCAAUGCCGCGUGAGUGAUGAAGGCCUUAGGGUUGUAAAGCUCUUUUACCCAGGAUGAUAAUGACAGUACCGGGAGAAUAAGCUCCGGCUAACUCCGUGCCAGCAGCCGCGGUAAUACGGAGGGAGCUAGCGUUAUUCGGAAUUACUGGGCGUAAAGCGCACGUAGGCGGCUUUGUAAGUAAGAGGUGAAAGCCCAGAGCUCAACUCUGGAAUUGCCUUUUAGACUGCAUCGCUUGAAUCAUGGAGAGGUCAGUGGAAUUCCGAGUGUAGAGGUGAAAUUCGUAGAUAUUCGGAAGAACACCAGUGGCGAAGGCGGCUGACUGGACAUGUAUUGACGCUGAGGUGCGAAA